rnacentral:misc_RNA from 1 species
AAAAUUCAGUCAGUAUCUUCACUGAAAUCAGGUUCUGGAGGUUUUUGCAGCUUCAUAAGCUCCCUAGCAGACUUGAGAUUUCGAUUCUUAUGAACGCCUCGGAGAGCAUUAGCUGCAAAUCUCGAUGCCAAGAACGUUGCCCCAAUACUAAAAGAAGCUCCACCCGAGUUACUACUGGCCCCGGCCAACGCUUCUGCUUCUUCAUCCUCUUUUCUUUGUAGUUCCAUAAGUUUCCUUUUCGUGAAACGCCUCCAUGCUGCUUGGAUGAAGCAAGCAGCCCAAGUUCUCCAGUGCUGUGAGUAGAAACGGAACGUGUGCUGUACCUGUCUACUGUGGAGCUUUCUGAACUGACUGGCGACGAAUUUCAACUCAUCUGCUAUUAAUGCAAAAGCCUCUACCUCUGUCAGAGCUUUCACGGUACGAGUAGAAGAUGGGAGGUUAGAACCUGAUUUCGGGUCUAGUGCCCAAGUAAGAAGUUCUUCUCCACAGAAGUCGGAUUCUUUUAACAAGCUGCGGUUGAAGAAACCGCUUCUCCCACCAUCAGUUGUCACA